rnacentral:rRNA from 1 species
UACGGAGGGUGCAAGCGUUGUUCGGAAUCACUGGGCGUAAAGCGCGUGUAGGCGGUCCGCUAAGUCUGAUGUGAAAGCCCGGGGCUCACCCCCGGAAGGGCAUUGGAAACUGGCGGACUCGAGUCCCGGAGAGGAGACUGGAAUUCCUGGUGUAGCAGUGAAAUGCGUAGAUAUCAGGAGGAAUACCGAUGGCGAAGGCAGGU